AUUGAACGCUGGCGGCAGGCCUAAAACAUGCAAGUCGAGCGAGCGGCGGACGGGUGAGUAAUGUCGGGGAAACUGCGUGAUGGAGGGGGAUAACUACGGGAAACGGUAGCUAAUACCGCAUACCAUCAGAUGUGCCCAGAUGGGAUUAGCUAGAGGGGGGGGUAACGGCUCACCUGGGCGACGAUCCCUAGCUGGUCGGAGAGGAUGACCAGCCACACUGGAACUGAGACACGGUCCAGACUCCUACGGGAGGCAGCAGUGGGGAAUAUUGCACAAUGGGCGCAAGCCUGAUGCAGCCAUGCCGCGUGUGUGAAGAAGGCCUUCGGGUUGUAAAGCACUUUCAGCGGGGAGGCGUUACCCGCAGAAGAAGCACCGGCUAACUCCGUGCCAGCAGCCGCGGUAAUUC
rnacentral:rRNA from 1 species